rnacentral:tRNA from 1 species
CAGAAUGUGGCUGAGUAAGUUAAGCAUCUCCCUUACACUGAGAGACACCCAUGCAAAUUGGGUCAUUCUGA